rnacentral:rRNA from 1 species
CCCUUAGAUGUUCGGGGCCGCACGCGCGCUACACUGAAGGAAUCAGCACGUCUUUCUCCUUGUCCGAAAGGACUGGGUAACCCGCUGAACCUCCUUCGUGCUAGGGAUUGGGGCUUGUAAUUCUUCCCCAUGAACGAGGAAUUCCCAGUAAGCGCGAGUCAUAAGCUCGCGUUGAUUACGUCCCUGCCCUUUGUACACACCGCCCGUCGCUACUAUCGAUUGGAUGGUUUAGUGAGAUCCUCGGAUUGGUCCCGGAGCGGCCUCUGGUCGUGCCGGAGUGCCGAAAAGAAUGUCGAACUUGAUCAUCUAGAGGAAGUAAAAGUCGUAACA